UAUUUCCUCUUGUGUUUGUGGGUGGUUGUUCCAUGUAUAGUAUAUUUACCUUACAGGACUGUUUUUGUCGCGCUUUUGUUCAGUGUUCAUUUCUUUAAUAAAUCAAGAAGAUGAUUCACAUCCCUGCUGCAGUUUGGUCCGAUCAUUACGACGCAUAUGACAAUUAGGUUUUGUUUGUAGUUAACUUUUGGGUUUCUGAAUUGGUGUAGUAUAAUGAAUGCUACCGAAGUGUUUUUCUUUGGGAAAAUGGGGAUUUCAGUGUUUUUCUUUGGGAAAAUGGGGAUUUCAUUGUCUCUCUUUGGAAUGUUUCCUGGGGCUAUAAUCUUGGGUGAGUGAAACUACCAAAAUGGAAAAGGCCUGGAAAUGUUUUGUUUGUCUUUACUUUAGGGUUUUGCAAAUACCCACACACAAAACAUUUGUUAUUACUAUUUGUUGGUGUUUUUCAAAUAGUAUGUUUGAUUUUUUUUUUCUCUCUUUCCUGUGGGGUUGGUGAGUUUUCCAUUUGACUUUGUGCUAAGAUAUCUUCAAGGGGUAUACAUACGUGGAAUUUUUAGAAGUUUUUUUCCUGAGUUUUAAUUAAAGAUGUGUAUUCUUUUGAUAAUGAAAUGUUCUGGGUACCUGUGAUACAAGAUGUGGAAAAUGUUUGAGGGUUUUUCUUUAAUUUGUCUAAAAUGGUAAGAAACAUUUCUGUGACGGGGUGGUAUGACUUAUGACCUUUGUCAGGGCUUUCCUGUGUGGUCUGAUCAGCCUCAUGGGAAAGCCAUUUGGAUAAUGAAUUUUAGGUCAUUUGUUAUGCUGAUGUCAAGGUAAUUUGUGUAAUUUAUAAUUAUGAUGGAAUUUAAAGUUCUUAGACAUUUGUAAUUUGCACCUAUGUGAUAUAGGGCAUUGCCUUUACCUAAGGGUAGGCUGCUUUAAGUCUAUUUUCCUAUGACCAUAUGGGUAAAUAAUUUUUUUCUUUGUGGAGGUUUUCAGAGUUGUGAUUUUCAUUUGAUUAUGUUCUUUUGAAAUUUGUUUUAUCUUUUGACCAGUAGUGUUUUUUUUUUAAAUACAUUACUCUCAUGGAGAGUUAUGUGUUAAAAAUGGGGGAGGAUACAGUCCUUUGAGGUUUUGGAUUCAGUUCUUUAAAAUUUGUAUUGAAGUUUACACACCUUGAGUCAUAUGUGAAGGAGUGUAUUGUGUUGUUUGUUAUGUUCUAUUCCCGAUAGGUUAUAGGUCUAACUUCCUGAUUCUGUGGCUCUGCGAUGGAGUUGAAAUUGUGAUGGGAAGUAUUAGCCAAUUUGAAAGAAUAGUUCCAAUAGAAUGUGUUGUUAUUCUCUUUGAAAUAUGUUUAGACAUUUGUAUUAAGAAUAAUUGGUAAAAGUAAUAAUUUAUCAUGUAGUUAAUGAACUGAACUAAACUGUUGUUCUGAUCUGUUCUUUCGAGGUUAUCAUGAAAAGUGACAUCAGACGGUAUCUUAAUGCAUGGAAGAGAUAAUUGGACCGAAAAGUGUGUGUACCUCAAACCCCCUCUAAUUGACUGAAGAAGGAGUGACGAAGGACUGUGAGAGGAGUCCACGUGGAGUGAGCAUGGGGAAAUCUGCUGUUCUAAACUUUUCUUAUGUUGCUGAUAUAUUGGUUGACGAAUGGACAAGACAUAAUGGGCAUCUAAGGUGACCAUUGACAUUGGGACAUUAUAAUGGGCCAUUCACUUUGAACUUUAAAGCUAUCUGAAGAAGAAUGAAGAGGACGCCAGAAGAAUCAGUGCCUGGAGAGAGGGGUUUGGUCAACUGUGCCCAAAGCUGUUUAGACUUUUGGGGUUUCAGGUUGAUUGUAGAGGUCUAUACCACGUGAAAUUAUAGUAAUUUUGAUUAAGAAUGCAUUGAGAUACUGAUCUGUAGAAUAAUCAUGAUAAAAAAAGUUAAUAGUAGAAAUGAUGGGAUAAUUAUACUGGAUGUUAAAAUGAAUGUACAUUAUGUUAAUGUUGAUAGUUAAAAUUGAGUUAUUAUUUUGAGUGAUAGUACCAAUUUGAAUCACUGAGCAAUGUCAUUUUAACAUUUUGGUUGGAUAAUUAACUGAGUUCUGAUUUUAUUUGGAAAUGGAAUGAUUUUUAAAACUGAAGGAUUGAUUUGAGUUGAGUAUGUUAAUAUCUAAAUGAGUGAAGGAAUUAAUGUAUUGGAGAUAGAUUGUUGUUGAACUAAGGAUGUUGACGCUAUUAUAAGCAUGCCAUGGUGACUGCCAUGGGUGAACUCUGCUCUGGAGAGUGAAAAUGAUUCUAAUCUAUUUUGAUCUAUAGGCAUUGCCUUAAUAGUGGAAUCAUGAUGCUUCUCUUGGGUGAUGUUCAUUAGGCACCAAGGGGAUAUAUUUUAACUAGGAGUCACUACCUGGAUUUGUACAACAAGAUGUGCUAAUUUUGGUUUCUGGGAUAGAAAUAGUCAUUGGCAACAUACUAUGCUGAUCCAUUGGAGUGUGAUAGAUAACUAAAUAUUAUUUUAUUAAACUCAAUUGUUGCAUGCACUGCAUUAUGCAUUAAUUAUGUGAAUUUCACUGUUUAUGGAAAAUAUAGCUUUGAAUCUCAAA